UUUUUUUUAAAGAGACAGGCCUUGAAUUCCUGAACCCUAUUGUGUAAAAGCAAAUGUACAUUGAGUUUGAAUUGAAAAUUUCAAACAGAAGUAAAAAUUUUGGCCUGAUCAUUUAAAGGCAAGAGUGUUUUUCUUGUGAAUUAUCUUAUUGUUGACUUGUAAUCACCCAAAUAUAGUACAUAUAAAACAUGUAUUCCAUAAUGCUACAAAGAGGAGAAAUGCAUUAAAUUAAAUAAAUGUGUCCA
rnacentral:lncRNA from 1 species